rnacentral:rRNA from 1 species
AUUGAACGCUGGCGGCAGGCCUAACACAUGCAAGUCGAACGAGUGGCGGACGGGUGAGUAAUGUCUGGGAAACUGCCUGAUGGAGGGGGAUACUACUGGAAACGGUAGCUAAUACCGCAUACCAUCGGAUGUGCCCAGAUGGGAUUAGCUAGUAGGUGGGGUAAAGGCUAACCUAGGCGACGAUCCCUAGCUGGUCUGAGAGGAUGACCCGCCAGGGUGGAAUGGAGACACGGGCCAGAAUGCGACGGGAGGCAGAAGUGGGGAAUAUUGCAAAAGUGGCGCAAGCGUGAUUCACCCAUGCCGCGUGUAUGAAGAAGGCCUUCGGGUUGUAAAGUACUUUCAGCGGGGAGGCGUUACCCGCAGAAGAAGCACCGGCUAACUCCGUGCCAGCAGCCGCGGUAAUUC